GAGAAGACACAAUCAUUCGUAGGUUUGUGGGAUCUGCUGUUGUUGAUGAGCCUAAAGUGGAAAAUGCAUGCCACCAUGGGUUAGUUGAUCCAACUAUCAAUUUGAAGGAGGCUAUGUCUGAUAUAAACAACAUGUUUGGAAAACCACUGAACUUCCAGGAUGGUAAAAAACCAAACAGGAAAACGAAUGCAGUAUCAGAGAGAAAAGCAGCUCCUGUUUCUGGUUUCUCCAUAUUAGCUGAUGAUGACAUUAGCAAGGACCCUGCUGCUAAAGACAAAUCAAGCAAUUCCUGUACAUUUGGAUCUGAGAGUGGUCUAUUUGAGCCCACUAUCACUACCCGUGACGUCAUGUCGGAGAUAAAUGAUAUGUUUGGAAUGUCACUUGACUUCUAAGGCACUUGCUUAGAGGGAAUUUAAUUAUUCAAAAGGUGCAGAAGAUGCACAGAAAAUGUUACAAGAUCACCCCUCUGGUGAUGCAGGGUGCAGAAACCGGGAAUGAUACCAUGCCUGUGGUGUUCUCGCUGAUAUCAUAAUUUUCCAGGAUAUUUUCCACAAAAUGAGCUUCCAGAUCUUUGUUUAGCACCAGGCCCAUGAGUUUUGUACCAUAUGAAUGCUGGUAUAAGUUAAAUUGUUCCCUCAGGAUUUGAGGUCACAGAACAUUUUGUUCUCCCCACUGUAUUUUGUUCAUUAGAUCCUUGGCUAGCAUUGGUGAUGCUGCCCAUUACAAUGACUUUCUCUUUGUUGGAACUUGGAAGUCACUGCCAGUCCAUUAUCAAACUCUGUCCCCGCUUUGCUUGUGUUUUUGCUGCUUGUACUGAAGGAAUUUUACAGAAUAAAAAAUACAGUUCCAAACGGUUUCAAUUGGGGAGACUGACGUGAAACAACUAGUGCACUAGCAUCAAGGAUCAAAGCCUACAGUAAGAAAAAAAUAUUUGGCAUAUUUAGAUAGAUUCAUGGCUGCCCGGUGUUGCCAGAUGACCACUCUUUCGUGAGUGAAUCCAUGGUGAUUGCUGCAGGUGCUGCGGUCUUGUCGCUUCUAUGCUGAGUCAGUAGGCCACCACACCUCCAUCUGGGUUCAGGUACGCACUUACAUAUGCAGUGUAUUUAGAUUCAGUUGUCACAAAGAUGCAUCCAUCAACAACAGAGCUUAAUCUCUAGAGAUACAAAGAAAAAAGGGAAAGGAACGAUAGGUAGGCAGUAUGAAUACUACUACUAGUCCAGUCCAUGCAUGGCUUCCUGGGUCACGAAAGCGUACAUGUCCUGGCUAUAAAUCUCCACUGUACAUACACAUGCAGGGUUCCCAAAUUUGCAUGAAUUUUACAGGAAUUCAACAGGGUCCAGUGAAAAAAAAAUACCGUGAAUGUUUUGAUUAAGAUUUUCACUUUUUAUGCUAGAGAAAAAUCAUGGUAGCUUACAGAUAGUUAGAAUUAAGUUUCAGGAACGUACGCACAAACGAAUAUGGUGGUCCAGAUUUUUGGUUUAUGAACACUAGGCUGCAUGUAAACCAAUGCUUGGCGUUGUCGAACUACAUUUUUCACAAUAAGAAACACGAUGUUUAAAAAAAUUAAAGGAUGGGAGGAGGAACUGAUUGGUACGGACGUACAGUAUAUCAGUUGCAUGAAAAGAUACGUAUACUGUGAGAUUCUUUGGUCCAGACGAACCUAGAUUCAGCAAAAUAUUUCUAGCCUAGUAAGUGUGAAUCGAUCUGUAGUAUUAUUGGUGCCGUUCCCUUUCUGAAGGCUGCUGAAGAAUCUUUCUCAUUGUCCUUAUGGUGUCAAGAUAUGAUUGGUGUGGAUGGUGAUUGUUGUAGUUUGUCGAUCGCUGUUUAGAUCAUUUUGUUUCUUUUCCUUUUUCAUCGCUUAGGCAUAGCUUUGGUCUUUUGCCUACGUGUUUAUUGGUGUUUUGGCUGUGUG